rnacentral:pre_miRNA from 1 species
GAACUACUCCCUUCGUUCGAAAUUACUUGUCGCAGAAAUGGAUGUAUCUAGACGUAUUUUAGUUCUAGAUACAUCCAUAUCCAAGACAAGUAAUUCCAAACGGAGGGAGUACAAA